rnacentral:rRNA from 1 species
ACGAAAGACCAAUCGAACCUCCUAGUAGCUGGUUUCCGCCGAAAUUUCCCUCAGGAUAGCGGCCAUCGCGGAAACGUUUGACCGGUAGAGCGAACGACUAGAGGUACCGGGGCCGUAACGGCCUCGACCUAUUCUCGAACUCCGAACGGGCAAGGAGCCGGGGUCGCCCGAUCGGACCCCGGACGUGAAGUCGACGAUGGUCGGUGGGGCUGGUUUUGGUAAGCAGAACGGGCGAUUCGGGAUGAACCGGAAGCGGGGGAGAAAGGGGCCCGAGAUUGCGUCGACGCGGAUCCCGAAAAGGGCGUCGAUCCGUCGCGACAGCGGGACGGUGGUCAUGGAAGUCGAAAUCCGCUAAGAAGCGUGUAAAAACGUACCCGCCCAACGGAUCGGCCCCGAAAAUUGAUGGCGCUCGAACGCAACCCUCGAACCCCGCCGACGGAGGCUAGGGGAGGCCCCGUCGAGUAGGCGGACGCGCGGGUCGCUUCGACGCUCUCGCGCGAGCGGGGGCGGAGCGGCCCGUGGUGCAGAUCUUGGUGGUAGUAGCGAUCACCCAGGCGAGAACCCUGAGGGCCGAAGUGGAGAAGGGUUUCUCGAGAACGG